GGUUUGCAGCCUGCAGCUGAAGCCAGGGCUGGGUGGUGUCAGAGUUCAGGUCACCACCUGAAAAUUUAAUCUGAUUAUUUUCAACUAACAGAGCAAGGACUCCUCCAGAAGGGGAGGAACCCUGGGGGAUGCAUCCCCAUGAGAAGACCCUCUAAGUCUCCUCCAGAUCCCGUGUUCCUGGUGGAGAGAAAGCAAAGAGAAGAGAGAGAGCCAGAGAAGAGGACAUCAGCCAAUGGGAGCACAGCCAUCCUGUGGGAGCAUAGCAAUCCUGGAAUCCCAGCCUUGUUGAGGACCCAAGUGACUGCAGUUGUAUGAGUGGUUCAGGCUGUUUCAGCCACAGGUGGUCAUCUACCAAACACCUGCAUUAUCAUUUAUCUUGAAAGCUGUUGUACUCUAGAAAAAAUAGCUUCGUUAUAUUUGUAUUAUAGCAAAAUACCUGUAAUGUGGCCAUAAUGUAUAUAUGUUUCCCUUCUCCCUCUGGGUGACCUAAUUGAUAUGUUAAUCAAUGCUCUCCUCUGUAAAGAUUUGUAAAUUCCUGUGAGACUUCCCUGUCCUCUCCUAAGGGAAACAAAGGUUGUUAAUUGCUGCUAGACUUCUCUAUUCUCUGCUGAGGAAAAUAGGAUAUCUUCCUAAUCUAAACUUGCUGGUUUGCAGGGAAACUUGCUUGUUAGCCCAACCCUUACCUGAACCUUGCUCUUCCCAAGAAAUGUAAUUGCCGUUUUCCUGUUCUGUAGUGCACCACAAACCCACCCCCUCCUUGCAUUGUGAGACCAGCAGCUGUUUGUGGUUUUACAAGAUAAAAGCCCUGCCCUUUAGCUGUCAGGCACGCAGUCCUUCAUAUUGGCUCCCGGAGACUGCGUUGCCAGGCCUGGCCUAAAAUAAAGCCUUUACUCCCUAAAUUUUAAUU
rnacentral:lncRNA from 1 species